ACGAACGCUGGCGGCGUGCUUAACACAUGCAAGUCGCACGGAAAGGCCCUGCUUUUGUGGGGUGCUCGAGUGUCGAACGGGUGAGUAACACGUGAGUAACCUGCCCUUGACUUUGGGAUAACUUCAGGAAACUGGGGCUAAUACCGGAUAGGAGCUCCUGCUGCAUGGUGGGGGUUGGAAAGUUUCGGCGGUUGGGGAUGGACUCGCGGCUUAUCAGCUUGUUGGUGGGGUAGUGGCUUACCAAGGCUUUGACGGGUAGCCGGCCUGAGAGGGUGACCGGCCACAUUGGGACUGAGAUACGGCCCAGACUCCUACGGGAGGCAGCAGUGGGGAAUAUUGCACAAUGGGCGGAAGCCUGAUGCAGCAACGCCGCGUGCGGGAUGACGGCCUUCGGGUUGUAAACCGCUUUCGCCUGUGACGAAGCGUGAGUGACGGUAAUGGGUAAAGAAGCACCGGCUAACUACGUG
rnacentral:rRNA from 1 species